CAAGAUUCUGUGAAUCAGCCUGACUGAGAUCUUCUGUGCCUCACAGUAUCAUCACUGCAAUAGUCAUGUUCAACCACAAAACAGCCAGAUAUUAUUAAUCAUCUUCUCAGUGAGUCUGCUCACUGUGCUCAUGGUCCAGCAAUGUGCAUGUUAAUAAUUGGGCUCUCUGCACGCCGCGCACACCCACAGUGGAGCUCAGCGAGACAAUCCACUGCUCCUCUGUGCGUGUAAUCUCUCUGACACGUUCACACUCCUCUGCCGGCUCUCCUCAGGGGGACAACUGUCCCUAAACUAGAGUUUAGGUGC